GCCGGGACAAGCUCCCUUCCAGCCGAUCGAUCUUCUCCUGUGCGGCCGCCAGCUCGACUUUAAGGGAGCUAAUCUUGGAAGCCUGAGUCCAAGACUGAUCGCUGGUAUAUUUUCGGAGUUCCUCAAGCUCCGUAAUGAAGUCAGCUUUCCUUUUGGUGUAUUCCACAAAACUUUUCUUGUGGAGGUCCCGAAAGCGAGUAGCCUCCGUGGUGGCCUCUGAAUGGCUCUCGUUCAGCCGGUGAAGUUCAUCUUCCAGCUUUUUGAAUUUUCUUAUCAACUGACGAACUUCCCUUUUGAGGUCUCGUAUCAUCGACUUCAAGGGAAUACCCUCCAGC
rnacentral:lncRNA from 1 species